AGAGUUUGAUCAUGGCUCAGAACGAACGCUGGCGGCAGGCUUAACACAUGCAAGUCGAACGCACCUUCGGGUGAGUGGCAGACGGGUGAGUAACGCGUGGGAACGUGCCCUUCAGUUCGGAAUAACCCAGGGAAACUUGGGCUAAUACCGGAUACGUGCGAGAGCAGAAAGAUUUAUCGCUGAAGGAUCGGCCCGCGUCUGAUUAGCUAGUUGGUGGGGUAAUGGCCCACCAAGGCGACGAUCAGUAGCUGGUCUGAGAGGAUGAUCAGCCACAUUGGGACUGAGACACGGCCCAAACUCCUACGGGAGGCAGCAGUGGGGAAUAUUGGACAAUGGGCGCAAGCCUGAUCCAGCCAUGCCGCGUGAGUGAUGAAGGCCUUAGGGUUGUAAAGCUCUUACGGCGGGGACGAUAAUGACGGUACCCGCAGAAGAAGCCCCGGCUAACUUCGUGCCAGCAGCCGCGGUAAUACGAAGGGGGCUAGCGUUGUUCGGAAUCACUGGGCGUAAAGGGCGCGUAGGCGGCUUGAUAAGUCGGGGGUGAAAGCCUGUGGCUCAACCACAGAAUUGCCUUCGAUACUGUCUGGCUUGAGACCGGAAGAGGUAAGUGGAACUGCGAGUGUAGAGGUGAAAUUCGUAGAUAUUCGCAAGAACACCAGUGGCGAAGGCGGCUUACUGGUCCGGUUCUGACGCUGAGGCGCGAAAGCGUGGGGAGCAAACAGGAUUAGAUACCCCAGUAGUCC
rnacentral:rRNA from 2 species